GAUGAACGCUAGCUACAGGCUUAACACAUGCAAGUCGCGGGGCAGCAUGGGGGUUGCUUGCAACCCCUGAUGGCGACCGGCGCACGGGUGAGUAGCGCGUAUCCAACCUGCCCUUCACCACGGGAUAACCCGGCGAAAGUCGGACUAAUACCGUAUGUUGUCCAUUGACGGCAUCCGAUUUGGAUGCAAGGGUUGGCGGUGAACGGGUGGGGAUUCGUCGGAUUAGCUUGGCGGCGGGGUAACGGCCCACCGUGGCUACGAUCGGCAGGGGUUCUGAGAGGAAGGGCCCCCACACUGGAACUGAGACACGGGCCAGACUCCUACGGGAGGCAGCAGUGAGGAAUAUAGGACAAGGGGCGUAAGCCUGAACCAGCCAAGUAGCGUGCAGGAUGACGGCCCUAGGGGUGGUAAACUGCUUGUAGGCGGGGAUAAAGUGGCCCACGGGUGGGCUUUUGCAGGUACCGCAUGAAUAAGGACCGGCUAAUUCCGUG
rnacentral:rRNA from 1 species